rnacentral:rRNA from 1 species
CCUACGGGAGGCAGCAGUGGGGAAUUUUGGACAAUGGGCGCAAGCCUGAUCCAGCAAUGCCGCGUGCAGGAUGAAGGCCUUCGGGUUGUAAACUGCUUUUGUACGGAACGAAACGGUCUGCUCUAAUACAGUGGGCUAAUGACGGUACCGUAAGAAUAAGCACCGGCUAACUACGUGCCAGCAGCCGCGGUAAUACGUAGGGUGCGAGCGUUAAUCGGAAUUACUGGGCGUAAAGCGUGCGCAGGCGGUUAUAUAAGACAGAUGUGAAAUCCCCGGGCUCAACCUGGGACCUGCAUUUGUGACUGUAUAGCUAGAGUGCGGCAGAGGGGGAUGGAAUUCCGCGUGUAGCAGUGAAAUGCGUAGAUAUGCGGAGGAACACCGAUGGCGAAGGCAAUCCCCUGGGCCUGCACUGACGCUCAUGCACGAAAGCGUGGGGAGCAAACAGGAUUAGAUACCCUGGUAGUCCACGCCCUAAACGAUGUCAACUGGUUGUUGGGUCUUCACUGACUCAGUAACGAAGCUAACGCGUGAAGUUGACCGCCUGGGGAGUACGGCCGCGAAGGUUGAAACUCAAAUAAUUGACGG